GACGAACGCUGGCGGCGUGCUUAACACAUGCAAGUCGAGCGGUAAGGCCCUUUCGGGGGUACACGAGCGGCGAACGGGUGAGUAACACGUGGGUGACCUGCCCUCAGCUCUGGGAUAAGCCUGGGAAACCGGGUCUAAUACUGGAUAUGACUCCAUGACGCAUGUUGUGGGGUGGAAAGCCUUGUGCGGCUGAGGAUGGGCCCGCGGCCUAUCAGCUUGUUGGUGGGGUGANGGCCUACCAAGGCGACGACGGGUAGCCGGCCUGAGAGGGCGACCGGCCACACUGGGACUGAGACACGGCCCAGACUCCUACGGGAGGCAGCAGUGGGGGAAUCUUGCGCAAUGGGCGAAAGCCUGACGCAGCGACGCCGCGUGAGGGAUGACGGCCU
rnacentral:rRNA from 1 species